rnacentral:lncRNA from 1 species
GGGCCAAUUUGGUAUUCAGCUCUAUAUAACGGUAAAAAGUAAAAUAGAUUUGGGAUGAAAGCAUAGAGGAAUAUGCUUCUAUGUUUUUUAGUAGGGCUAUAUGCAGAACGCGAUAUUAGGUACGAAAAUAAAUAUGAUAUUUUCUCACUGGACAACGGAAUCUUAAAAGAGCUUCAAUACCAAACGGGCCUUAGUCUUGUUCGGAAGUUGCUAGAAAAUUUGUGUUACAUGCGAUAAAAAAAAACAUGAAGAAAAAACAUCUUACUAUUUAUUUUUUUGGGUAAAUUGCACUGUUACAUCUUAAACUUUAGGUAGAGUUUUAGUUUAUCUCCCAAACUCUUAAAAUAGACAUUUAACAUCCUAAACUCUAAUGUUUUAUUCAUGUUACCCCUUCCGUUAGUUUACCGUCAAGCUCCGUUAACAAAAAACUGACGGAAAUAUUAGAGUUUAAGUGUUAGAUGUCUGUUUUAUGAGUUUGGGGGGUAAAAUGAAACUUCACCAAAAGUUUAAAGAGUAACAAUGUAAUUUAGCCAAUAUAGAAUAUGUUAUUUAUGGAUUGACUACUGACACUCAAGUUAAUAAUCAUGCGAAGUUUUGAAUUUAUACUUUUUUAUCCUAAAAUAAAUUAUAGUACAAAGUACCCUACAUUUUAUCAUAUAAAAGCUAAAAAAAAAUUAAUUAGAGUGACUUAAAAGAUAAAAAAAGAGAGACACUAGCUAACUAGCUAGCUACGAUGCUCGAACACCCUACUCUCUAGGUGUACUCGCUAAUGUUGUUGAUUUAUAAUAAGUAUCCUCACUCGGAUAUAGAGAUUUUAAUUCUCAGUUAAUUUUCUGUAGUAUUCAUUUCUUGUCUUUAUCUCUAGAAAUAUUGUCCUAAAGAAUAUACUUACUUUUUAUAAAAUUAUGUAAAUUAAUAAAAUUACUAGUGAAAUUACCUACGCAUUGCGGCUGACUAAUACUAUAAAAAUAGAAGAUUGAUAAAAUAAAAAUUUUUAAAUUUUUUGACUUGCCAUAGGACAUCAAUAAAUACAAAUAGUAUCAGAAAAAAGAGUAUAAAUAGAUCUUAUUUUACUUGUUUUUGUAAAAGCGAUUAGUUUAGAUAACAAUAAACUAUGUGAACGUAUUAAUUGAAAAGUGGACGGGUGUGAAGACGAAGCAUCGAAUAGAGAUAAGAGGUGGGAAGGCGAAGCAUCAGAAAGUGAGUAGGGGAGAGAAUGCAAGGGUAAAAGAGGAACCGACUUGUGACAAAUUUUAUGAGAAAUAAUGAAUAGAUAUAGGUAUAAAAGUAUAGAUAACCUAAAAUCAAAAUUUUAUACUUUUUUUAACCAAUUAGAAAAUUUGAAUAUAAAUUAUUUUAUAAUAAAUUAAUUUUUUAAAAAUAAAAUUACUGAUGUUAAAUUAAGAGAUACUAAAUAUCAUCUCAUCCUUUAGGAAUCGGCCGCAGAUGCUGCAUAAGCGAUCUAAUCCAUUUGCUUUUUGUUAUUUUUUAAUAUUUUUUAAAAACUAUCUCUUUAAUAUAAUAAAAUAUUUUUUUGUAAUUUUUUUUUCAAUAAUCAAAUAUUUCUGUUACUCCUAAACUUUUGGUGGAGUUUCACUUCAUCUCUCAAACUCAUAAAGUAGAUAUAUAACAACUUAAACUCUAAUAUUUUAUUUAUAUUACCACUUUCGUCAAUUUUUGAUUAAUGAAACUUGACAGAAAACUGGCAAAAGUAAUAAUAUGAACGAAAUCUAAGACUUUAACAUAUGAUAUGUUCAUUUUAGAACUUUAAGGAUAAAAUAAAAUAUUAGAGUUUAAGGUAUUAGAUGUCUAUUUUAGAAGUUUGGGAAUUAAAAUAAAAUUCGACCAAAAGUUCAGGAAAUAACAGUGCAAUUUAUCCUUAUUCUUUUUGUAAAUGAGUUGAUUAAGAUAUAUUUUUUGCGGCACCAUUUAAAAAGGGAAAGCAUUUCUUGAUGGUGCAAUUCUAUUUUGCGUAAUAACAAAUUUUUAAUAUUUGUCCUUAAGUUAGAGACAAAAGAGAUAUUUUAACCUUUUGCCCUUCAAAUAAUAUAUUAUUAUCAACUUUUUUUAUUUGUCCUUAAGUUAGGAACAAAAUAAAUAUUUUGACACUUUUUAAUUCUGUAGAAAUUUAAUAUGGGUUUAAACCCGAGAUAUCUUAUCGGGCAACUGGAUUUUUUUUUAAUAACGGAAAAUUACAUGAACGGUAUAUUUGGAAAAAAAGAAAAGAAAAGAAGAGUAGAGUAUAUAAAAUAUUUCAAAAGUUUGGAGGGGUAUAUAGCAUAGGGAAUUAGGCUGGAAUACUAUCAACAGCACCAAGCUAUUGGUGUUAUUGAUUUUUUAACCCUUGGAUUGAGAAAUGUGCGGUUAGAAUGAUGUGGGCCUUCUAGGGUUGAGUGGGUGGUUGGUGGAAUAGUAUAAUCCAACGAAUAAAAAUAAUCAAAAGAUUAAAUCUAACGGUGGAAAACUCGAUAGCUCCAAACCCUUGGUGCUAUCGAUAGUAUCCCAGCCGGACUCAUAAUAUAGGUAAUUAUUUCUAUUAUUAAAUAUCUCUACUAAGCUGACAACUUAUCAAACUUAUCAUCGGAAAAUUAAUUUUCAAAAUUUUAACAAAUUUUUGAAUAAAAAGUAAAUAAAAUAAAAUGAUAUAUCACGCACUUAAUAGAGAAUUAAAAAAAUAAGGUGUAAACUAUAAAAUUUAAACUAUAUUUUCAAUGAAAGGAUCAAAAGAUAACGUGUGACUGAAUUGUCUCGCACGAAAUGGUUGAGGGUGACAUUGUCAAUUUUUUUGAUUUAAGUAAUGUUUAAAACUCUCGGAUUAAUUUCAUACAAAUCCCUGCACAUAUAGUAAAUUGCGAAUAUGUUUCUAUAAAGUUUAACUUUCAUAUAUUGUUCCUACAAAAGGCUUAAUGUUUUUAAAUAUGUUCUUUUUGUUUGUUACUGUUAAAUUUCCGUCUAUUUUAUAAAUAAAAUAAUCUUUUUAUCAUCACAAAUAUGUCCCUCCAAAAAUUAUAAUGAUAUAACAUAAGAGGUGUACAAAUACCAAAAACUAACUAGGGUUGAGUAUUUAACCUAUAGUUAAUUAAAUUUUUCUAACAAAUUCUAAAGAUAGAGACAUAUUUGAAAACAUUAAAACUUUUACAGAAACAAUAUAUAAAAGUUGAAUUUUGUAGGGAUAUAACUGUAAUUUACUAUGUUUAUAGGGACCUGUAUGUAAUUAACCCUUAAUUUUUUUUGUCCCAGAUAAAAAUCAUUUAUAAUAAUUUUAUAUAUUUAGAGGUGUAUAUAUAGUAUCUAAUAUUUUUUAUUUGAAAUGGUAUUUGUGAAAUUUUAAAACUUUAGAGUGUUACACGUUUGAAAUUUCCCUUUUACUUAUCAUUUAGUAAUGUUUUUUUCAGGUAAAAAAAUAUUCUCAGUUCUAAAAUAACCUACUCAACUUUUAUUCUUUUGAUUUACACUCCUAUAUAAUCAAUAUUUUUUAGGAUAAAUUUCCAAGGAGGCCCCUAACCUUCUAUCGAUGUUUUAAUUGAAUCCCUACGGUUUUAGUUAUUGAAAUUCGGUUCGAAAUCUUUUACCCGAGUUUUAAUUGACCCUUUAACCUUCUAACCACCGCAAUCAAAAGAGACAGAUUAUUUAUAAUCCAGCGAGUUUAUAAUAUAUUUACAGUGUGUUUGUUUAACCAAAAAGUAAAGAGUGGUGAAGUAGUUUUCGGUUGUAAAACUCAAACUCUUCAGAAUAAUGUAACUAAUUUCGACCUAUUCCAGACCAAAAUCGAUUUUUAUCUGAAUUCUACUUUACUUGAGAUUUUAUUUUAACUGAAACUUUACCUUCGGUGAAACAAACAGAUUUUUUACUUAUAAUGUACUAAUUUUAGUCACUCAGAAAAUAAAACAAAUUUAAAAUGGAUUAUUUUUAUUUUUACCAACUUUUUUUGUUGUGUUUAGCACUAGUUGUCUCUUUGGACUUUUAACUGUGUUCUACAUGUUAUUUAUUUUUUUAACUUUUUUUUUUUUUUCGUUUCCUGGUGUUUUUGCAUAAUAGAUAUACUCUAUUUUCCUAUUUGCAAUGUCAAAUCAUUUAUUUGAUUUUUUUUUUUUUUUUUACUUAGCACUUUUUGGUUAAAUGAACCAUUUUCCCUUAUAUUCUAGGCACAUGUACCAUUCCAUGCUUGGUAAGUUUAAGUGUGAUUUUGUGCAUACAUAGAAUUUAUGAAUGAGAUCAACUUAUUUUUCAAGUGUUCUAAUCACUUUAUGUGUUUAAAUAAGAUGUAUAAAUAACUUUUAAUGAAAAAAAAACUUGUUAAAUAUUAAAAAAAAAAAUUAACAUUAUUUUUCAAUAGCUUAAACUUUUAGAGUACAAUGAUUGUUUCAUGUGGUAUUAGAAUAGGAGGUCCUGAGUUUGAGUCACGCCAGACUCUCUAAAAUUAUUAAUUUUCUCCCAUUUAAUUCAAGUUCACAUCAUAUGCCUUGCAAAAAGUCUCUAGUCUAGACUUGAAGGAAACUUAAGUUUUUAGAGUACAACAGUUAUUUUUCAAAAAUUAAUUAGAAAGCUCCCCGACGCAUCGUUAAGGAGUCUCCGACGCAUCGUUAAGGAGUCUCAGUUCGUCGUUACGUUUCACUUUUAUUUCUAUUCAAAUAUUAUAAUCCUUCAUUCUAUAGUUUUUUCUAAGUAUUGUAAAAUACCAAGGAACCAUUCCAUCCAACAUCUUUACACAUUCAAAUGAGAUUUAUUGCUUUUAUAAUCUCUGAAAUUAUUCACCUUUGAUUUGUGUGUUCAAGUGAAAUUUGUUGUUUAUAUUAUUUUUGCAAAUUAUCCAACUCUAUUUUCAAAUUAUACAAUUCUUUAGGACAAUUAAUUUAUUAUUAUUAAAGAAAAAGGCAAUUGUUUAUAUAUUUCUAAAAAAUUUCUGACUUUCUAAUUUACCACUCAGACUUUCUGAUUUAUCCCUCUUAGAAAGCUAAUAUUGAAAAUACUUUUUUUACAUUCCAAUCUAUUUCAAAUAUAUAUCUGUAGUUAAAAUAGCUAUUGGUAUUUCUAUAAAAUUACUAUUUUGCCUUUUCAAAUAUACUCUUCUAUCAUCACCGACUUUUCUUAUUUGCCUUAAGUUAAGACACAAAAAGUAUUUUAUUUUUUGGUCUUUUCAAAUAUACCCUUCUAUCAUCGUCAAUAUUUCUUAUUUGUCCUUAAGUUGGAAGACAAAGAGACAUUUUGAUUUUUUUAACUCUGAUAGAUAUUUAACUCAAGUUAACUUAAUAGAUAGUAACUGCAGGAUAUUUUGGAAUAACGGAGGAAUAUAUAAGAAGUAUAUUAAAAAAUAAAUAAAUAAAUAAAUAAAAUAUUUAGGCAAUUAUCCAUAAAAAAAAAAAACCCUCGUCAGUUUGUCUCUUUGGAUAUUCAUCCUUAAUUUUAAACACAAAAAAUAUCUUCUUUAUUUUAGCUUUACAAUAAAAAUAUACAAAUGGGUUACUGUGGCAAUAUUGCAACCCCAAGUGCUAAAGUGAUUUACUAACGCGGUGUUUGGUUUGUCGUAUAAAUGAUCGAAAAGUUGUUUUUGGCUCGAAAAUAAAAUUUUUAUUUGUUUAUUUACUUAUAAAAAUACUUUUUUAUAAAAUAAUUAUAUAUAUUUUCUAAAAAUAUGGAUUUUUCGUUUUUCUAAAAAUAUGGAUUUUUCGUUUUUCGCCCAAAAAGGGCACAGAAUAAAUAAACUUCCGCGAGAAAAAAAAAAAAAGAAAAAAAAAGGCGGCGCAUGGUGCAGGCCUUGACGCGGUUCACGAAAAGAGGUGGAAAUGUGUGGACCGAACUCAUUUGGACUCCUCUAGAAUGUUGCAUAUACCAGGUGCAUCAUAUUUGUACACCACUUUUUUUUUUUUUUUUUUUUUUUCAUGUAUCAACUAUCUUUCACCAUAUUAUAAUAUCUAUCAUUGAUAUUUAGUAGUUGUUUUUAUAUUUUAAAUUAAUAAUUAAAUUAAAAUUAUGAGAUAAAUUAGGUUUCGUUUGGAAUUGCGGGAAGAUUGCGUUACGUGCGGUGAGAAAAUAUGAUGGAAAAAUACUCUAUUUGUUUGCGUUCCGCAUAUCGCGAUAAGACGAUAACAAUAUAUUUUCUGUGGUCCAAUCAGAGAAUGUAAAAGUACAUCUCUAUAUGCUUUUAUCCCAACUCUAUUUUAUUUAAUAGCGUGAGAUGAACCUCAAAACUAAACUAAGCCUUGGACUAGUGAUUGAAAUGGGGUUCCCCACGAGGUGCACACAAUAAUAAUUCAUCAUUCUCGUCAACAUCCACCCAUUUUAAUUGGAUGAUAUAAUAUGUAUAAUAUAUAAAAUAAGAGUUGUGCUAGAAUAUUAUUAGUAACAAAUGAGUUCCGUUACUACUGAGUUGUUUUUAAUGAUGAAACCUCCAAAUCGAUGAUCAACAUCAUUGAAUAUGAUCUAUAAUACUCGAAUUAUCUAAAAAUCAAAUUUCAAGUUUUUUGAUAUUAUUGACCUAAUGAUUAAAAGGGUGCAAAAGUUAUAAUUUUAAUAGUCAAUAUAAGAGGUUUGUUCGUUUAAUAAUGUAAACAAAUCUAAAUUAAUUGAAUUUUGAUUAAAAAAAUUUUUAAUCUUGUUCUUGAUCUUGAUUAUAAGAAUCAUAUUAUCACUUUUUAAAGAAUAUUUAUUUUUAGCCAUUUAUUUUUAUUUUCACUUAAUGUACAAGAGAGCAAUACCAAAAACACAUAAAAUUUUUAAAAAUUAAUAUCUAAAUUUAAAAUUUAAAAUUUUAGACUUAAAAUUUCAAAAUUUAAAUUUAAAUUUUAAAAUAUAAAAAUAUAAAAUUAAAAUUUGAUAUUUAAAUUUAAAAUUGAAAAUUUAAUAUUUUUAACUUUAAAAUUUGAUAUUUAAAAUCCCAAUUAGAUUUUGAAAAAUAGAUGACCAAACGCUCUAUUAAAAGAAAAUUCAUUUUUCGCUCUAAAUUACUUUUCCCAAUCUAAUCCAAACACCCAUGUAUUCUAACUAUACUUUGAUUCAUUAUAUGUAUAUAAUGAGCCUUGCAUACUCGUUAAUUUUAGGGUGCGUUUGGUUCGAAUUAUCCUGACAGGAUUACAGGCAAUACUGUCAGAAUUAUUGUGUUUGGUUCAUCUACUAUGUAAUCUAAUCAUUAAUAUAACAUUACAAAUCGAACAGGAUUACAUCGAAAAUAUUAACGAGAGAGGGAUCGUGUAUCUUGCAUUAUUGAAAACCGGUAAUACUACAUAUUAUGUAAAAUGAUAAUUUUACCCCGCUAAGUCCAGAAACCCUUUCACUACUUCAUUUUAAAAAUUUUAAUUUGAAAUUUUGAAUUGUCAACUUUUAAAUUUUAAAUUUUAAAUUUUUAAAAUUCAAAUUUUAAAUUUAAAUAUUAAAUUUGAAUUUAAAUUUUAGAUUUUAAAUUUCAAAUUCUAAAUUUUAAAUUUGAAAUUUAAUUUUGAAAUUUAAAAUUUAAAAUUUAAAUUUCAAAUUUUAAAUUUCAAAUUUCAAAUUUUAAAUUUCAAAUUUUAAAUUUUAAAAUUUAAAUUCCAAAUUUUAAAUUUUAAAUUUUAAAUUUUAAAUUUGUAUUUUAAUUUCUAAAUUUUAAAUUUAGAUUUUUAAUUUUUAAUUUUAAUUUUAUAUUUAUAUUUAUAUUUUGGAUUUUAAAUUUAUAUUUUUGUUCAAAUUUAAAAUUUAAAUUUUAAAAAAUUAAAUUAUUUAAAAUAAAAUUUAGUAAAAAAAUAUUAUUUGUAAACAGUAAAAAAAAAAAAGUUUACAAAAUAUGGUUAAGGGCAAUUUUGAAAUAGACUAUAUUUUAUUGCCUAUAUUACUAAAUUUUAUAGACAGAACCAAACAUAUUAAUGCUAUAGCCACUGCAAUUCAAUAUUAUAUUACUGUAUUAAACCAAACGCUCUAAUGCAGCAUAAAUAGUAAUCUCUUUUAGAAAUCUAAGAUAUCUGGAUAUAUCGAAAUACUCUGUAAUAAUAUAUAACUUGAACCAAACGCGCCUUAGUAGUAACAUGAACAUGAACAAACAAUGCAAAUAGACAUGAAAUUUGGGCCAACAAAAAGCCCAAGGCCUCUUCAAAUAAGCAAGAAUUUAACCCCUUUUUUAUGUUUAUAAUAAUAAUAUAGAGCAUGUUUGGCUUAGCUGUUGGAGAAGUAACUUCUACAGAAUUUAUUCUGAGUUAGAAAAUUGAUUCUGGGUAAAAAUUGUGGGGCGUCUGGUUGAGUCUAAACGAAAAGCGAGUUUUCUAAAGUGAUUUUUUUGAAAUUUAAAAUUUGAGUGCAAAAUUAGAAUCAGAUUUCAAGACGUAAGUUGUAGCUACUUUCUGAUCGUAGUUCUCUAAAAUCAGAGAACUGAUUCUAAAAUUCUCUAAAAUCAGAGAACUGAUUCUAAAAAUCAAAAUCAAAUUUCGAAAAUGAGGUUGUCAAAUGCUCUAUUGAAGAAAAAUUCACUUUCCGCCCUAAAAUCAUUGCUCAAAAUCUAGGCCCAACAUUCAUAUAGUCUCAUUUAAAUAGGGCCCACAAUGGUUAAGCCCAUGUAGCUUUUUUUUUAUAGGCCCCGUCCAUGUAGACAACCACUUACAUUUUCUUUUCUUUUUUUGAUUUUUUUUUUUUUUUUGGAACUUGUCGUUGAACCAUGUAAUUUGUGCGGCGUGAAUAUAUUUAUUCAUUACAUAUUCUAAAUUAUAUUAACGUUAAAAGAAUAUGUAUAAACCUGGUUAGGAUAUAUUUAUUCAUUACUUAUUCUUUUGUUGUCAAAUAAGAGAUGUUUUUUCAACAAUAAUAAGCAGAUUAUUCUAUUUUUUUUUUCAAAAAUUAAAUCAAAAUUUCAUAAUAUCCUUGUAGAACUAUACAAUAUUUUAAUCGGUUUCAAGCGACAAUUGCCUAUAUACACCUCAAGAUGUAAUGCUCGCUUUUCAUAUCUAACCCUAGAAAGUCUAAAAGUUCUAACUUCUUUCAAAUAUGCCCUAAUAUUUUGGUCGGAACUUAGACUGAGGAUGAAGUUAAUUCGGAACUACCGGAAUAACAAUGGAUAGACGUGACAUAUAUAAGUAAAAAAGAAACUUUAAGGCCUCAUUCAGUUCGGAGGUAAAGUAAAUAUAACAAAAGUUAAUUCCGCCAAAUAUGGUAAUUUCUUAGCGGUGAUAAAACAUAUUAGUCGAUAUUUUGUUUUUCCUGCUAUUCCGCCAGACAUGGCAUUUUUUUUAGCUGGGAUAAAAUAUCUUGAUCAAACUUUACUAUUUUUUGUCAUCUCGGGGUAGUUUGGGAUAAACUAUUCCACUUUUUUUGUGGAAUAGUGCUAUUCCAAAAUUUGAUUCCAAAAUUUUAUUAAGAUUGUAAAUUAAAUUAAAAUAAAUUAUGUAGACAUAAUAUAUUACAUAAUGCCAAAGCAAAUUCUCUCUUCGAAUCCUAUCUCUCAAAAAAAAAAAAAAAAAUCUCUCUUCAAUAAAAAAUUGAGUUGCAAAGACUUGGGCAAGUCAUCGUAAAACCGUUUUUCUGUAUGUUCAUCAUAGAAUAUUUCUAGAUCUCAAUAUAUCUGUUGCCAGAUGAUUGUGUAGAAGUGCAAACUUGUAAUAAAUUAUUUUAAUAUAAAAAUUAUUAAUUGUAUUGUAUUAAUGUAUAUUAUUUGUACUUAAAUAUUAUAAUAAUUAUUUUUAUUAAAUUUAAUUUAAGUAGAAUUUAUAAAAUGCUUUCCAAAUGUUCCUUCACAUAGUACUUAUUUUGUAUCUAAAUUACUGUAUAAUUUUAAUCAUGUUUUAUAUCAAAUUCAAUCAUCACUUUUUUCGAUUCUACUAUUUCAUAAAAUAAACCAAAUGCAAUUUUAAUUAUUUCUGAAAACAACAACAUUACAAACCAAAUGCAAUUUUACUUUUAUUUCUAAUUAUUAGGGAACAGUAAGAUACUCCAAAGUUAAAAAAAAAUAUAUAUAUAUUCUAAUAUUCGUUAUCCCUGAACCAAAGGGGCGAAGCCUGGAGAUAAAUUUAAUUGCUCAAACUUUUUAUUAGUAGAUAUAAAAAAUUAGGGAUAAUAUCUAAUAUCUUAUCAAUAUCAAAAUUUUAAAAAUAUCUUAUUUAUCUUUGAAGGACCAAAAUACUCUUGUUUGAUUUUAAAAGUUCCUUUAAAUAUCCCCAUUUCAUUUCCUCUAGAAUUUACUAAUAUGAUUGAGUUUUAAAAAGAUAUUUUGCUAAUUUCAGAAUUAAUUUUAAAAUUUUGAAUAGCAGUAGGGGAUAAAUAAG